rnacentral:lncRNA from 1 species
GCAAGAACCCCCCAAUCGCUUAUUUUCACGCCCCAACCUCUUAUCUCUGUGCCCCAAUCCCUUAUUUCCACGCCCCAAUCUCUUAUCUCUGCGCCCCAAUCCCUUAUUUCCGCGCCCCAACCCUUUCUCUGCUUUUCUGGAGGGGAAGAAACCCCCACCCCUUCUCCGUGUCUCUACUCUUUUCUCUGGGCUUGCCUCCUUCACUAUGGGCAAGCUUCCACCUUCCAUUCCUUUCUUCUCCCUUAGCAUGUAUUCUUAAGAACUUAAAAUCUCUUCAAUUCUCACCUGACCUAAAAUCUAAGCGUCUUAUUUUCUUCUGCAAUGCCACUUGACCCCAAUACAAACUCAACAGUAGUUCCAAAUAGCCAGAAAAUGGCACUUUCAAUUUUUCCACCCUACAAGAUCUAAAUAAUUCUUGGCGUAAAAUGGGCAAAUGGUGUGAGGUGCCUGACGUCCAGGCAUUCUUUUACACAUCAGUCCCUUCCUAGUCUCUGUGCCCAGUGCAACUCGUCCCAAAUCUUCCUUCUUUCCCUCCCGCCUGUCCCCUCAGUACCAACCCCAAGCGUCACUGAGUCUUUCUAAUCUUCCUUUUCUACAGACCCAUCUGACCUCUCCCUUCCUCCCCAGGCUGCUCCUUGCCAGGCCGAGCUAGGUCCCAAUUCUUCCUCAGCCUCUGCUCCUCCACCCUAUAAUCUUUUUAUCACCUCCCCUCCUCACACCUGCUCCGGCUUACAGUUUCAUUCCGUGACUAGCCCUCCCCGACCUGCCCAGCAAUUUAUUCUUAAAAAGGUGGCUGGAGCUAAACGCAUAGUCAAGGUUAAUGCUCCUUUUUCUUUAUCCCAAAUCAGAUAGUGUUUAGGCUCUUUUUCAUCAAAUAUAAAAAUCUAGCCCAGUUCAUGGCUCGUUUGGCAGCAACCCUAAGACACUUUACAGCCCUAGCCCCUAAAAGGUCAAAAGGCCAUCUUAUUCUCAAUAUACAUUUUAUUACCCAAUCUGCUCCCGACAUUAAAUAAAACUCCAAAAACUGGAAUCUGGCCCUCAAACCCCACAACAGGACUUAAUUAACCUCACCUUCAAGGUGUGAAAUAACAGAAAAAAGUUGCAAUUCCUUGCCUCCACUGUGAGACAAACCCCAGCCACAUCUCCAGCACACAAGAACUUCCAAACGCCUGAACUGUAGCAGCCAGACGUUUCUCCAGAACCUCCUCCCCCAGGAACUUGCUACACAUGCCGGAAAUCUGGCCACUGGGCCAAGGAACGCCCGCAGCCCGGGAUUCCUCCUAAGCCGCGUCCCAUCUGUGUGGGACCCCACUGAAAAUCGGACUGUUCAACUCACCUGGCAGCCACUCCCAGAGCUCCUGGAACUCUGGCCCAAGGUUCUCUGACUGACUCCUUCUUGGCUUACUGGCUGAAGACUGACGCUGCCUGAUCGCCUCAGAAGCCCCGCAGACCAUCAUGGACGCCGAGCUUUAGCCCGCCUGCACCCAGGUGAAAUAAACAGCCUUGUUGCUCACACAAAGCCUGUUUGGUGGUCUCUUCACACAGACGCGCAUGAAAGGGAAGACAUACAAAAACAAGGCCUCUGAGGUAGGUACUACUGAGACAGCCAGGUGGGAAGGACUCCUUGGCAAAACUCCAACCAGCCUGUACACUGGGAGGAAUGUGCACUGGGAUGGAGCCAUAGAAGUUUGUGUCGUUUGCAGUGGGGAGGAGCCUGGUCCCUCCUCUUCCUGUGAGGAACCUGGAAUUCAAUCUGUGAGGAACUUCUUGAAAGACCCAUCAAUUCUUCAAUAGAAAGCAUCAAAGGACAAUUUACACCCUAAGACUGAACCCCUGACCUCAAAAUCUUUCCCUUGCUAUGUUCACCAACCUCAACAGAAAUAUUAGGAUUCUUACCUGAUCCUAGCCAAGCCCCCUCCCUCAUCUCCCAUUAAAGGGUCCAUCUUCAACCAAACUUAAGUCUCAAUAAAUAUCUGGACAUUGUCCUUCCAACUCUGGGAAGCUGCUAAGACUCUGUCCUUACUGCAGAAGAAAAAACAGCCUUGUACCCUGGUCUUCUCAACAGGUUGUUCUGGAGAUGUUCUGGGGAGACUGCAUUAAACACAGCUUCGCACCAUUGAAUAAACUCAGCAACAAGCCAAUGCAUAAAAGUAAUCUAUGCUUCAGGUCACAGAAGCUUCAAGGGGAAAAAAACAGAAUACUCUAGGGCCAUUGUUCACAAACUCAUCUGAAAACAUCCUGGAAAAAUUUUCCCAAACACAUGGAAAGAAAGAGAGGAAAAAAGAAGAUAUCUGAAUAAUGUGGACUAGAAUAAAGAGCUGCCAGGAGCUGUUUAUUUAAAAACAGUACUUUCUUCUCUGGCUGAGUCCCUGGUAUUCUCUGCUGCAAUCUGUAGCUGUAGAAUUUUGAAGAAUGCAAUUAAAUUCAAAUGGUUUGAUGAGUAAUA